AGUCGAGGGGUAUAGGUUUUCGGACCUAGAGACCGGCGCACGGGUGCGUAACGCGUAUGCAAUCUACCUUUCACAGAGGGAUAGCCCAGAGAAAUUUGGAUUAAUACCUCAUAGUAUAGCAGUUUCGCAUGAAACCACUAUUAAAGUCACAACGGUGAAAGAUGAGCAUGCGUCCCAUUAGCUAGUUGGUAAGGUAACGGCUUACCAAGGCAACGAUGGGUAGGGGUCCUGAGAGGGAGAUCCCCCACACUGGUACUGAGACACGGACCAGACUCCUACGGGAGGCAGCAGUGAGGAAUAUUGGACAAUGGGCGCAAGCCUGAUCCAGCCAUGCCGCGUGCAGGAUGACGGUCCUAUGGAUUGUAAACUGCUUUUGUACAGGAAGAAACAACUCUACGUGUAGAGUCUUGACGGUACUGUAAGAAUAAGGAUCGGCUAACUCCGUGCCAGCAGCCGCGGUAAUACGGAGGAUCCAAGCGUUAUCCGGAAUCAUUGGGUUUAAAGGGUCCGUAGGCGGUCAGAUAAGUCAGUGGUGAAAGCCCAUCGCUCAACGGUGGAACGGCCAUUGAUACUGUCUGACUUGAAUUAUUAGGAAGUAACUAGAAUAUGUAGUGUAGCGGUGAAAUGCUUAGAGAUUACAUGGAAUACCAAUUGCGAAGGCAGGUUACUACUAAUGGAUUGACGCUGAUGG
rnacentral:rRNA from 1 species